rnacentral:lncRNA from 1 species
UAAGGUUUUUCCCACAUGUGUGUUGUAAUGCGGCAGCUUGGGGUUUCAUGGCGUUCUUGGCGCAGUUCGAUAACCCCUUUUGCUAAUGCGGACAACCGUCAACCAUCUCCCCUCCCCUCGUUGAACUACAUCACUGUCAGCGUCAGUGUCCUUGGUGUGCAGUUCACUUGUGUUAUUGCUCUUGAACAUCCCCGAGUAGGAGUGCAGCUCGUCUUUGUACUGUUUUUUUUUAACUUGUGCGAGCCAGUUCGCUAUCAAAAUUUGUAGUGAAUUGUUCAUGCUUUUAUUUCUGCUCGUGUUUCGAAGAUGUCCUAAUUUUUUGUAGAUUUUGGAUUUGCAUGUGUUGUGCGGUUCCAGUGUAGAUGAGGUUCGAGCGUGGUCCGCUUAUUUUUUGAUUGCAGUGUAAAGAGAAAAUAUGAUCCAGAGUGGUGCAUGACGAUAUGAAGUUCCAUAGCGUGGUCAAGCAGUCUGCGUCAUAGUGUGUCAUGGUCCUUGGGGUGUGCAGUUGGAUCUAUUGUGUUCAUGAGCAUCAUCAGCAGCCAUAGAGAGUGGCGUAGAACAUAAAGUGUGCGUGUAGUUUGGUUACUCUGAAACGAUUGACAAUGGUAUAGUUUACUGUGAAAUGCUUUGUGGUUCACUUGUAAAAAUACGGAAUAACAUAUUGUUGUUCACUAUAAUUGAUCCAAUGGUCUAGACACAUUUAUAUGAAAAAUAAAAAAUGAAGUUCACUUACAUGUCGAAUGCAGUCUUAUUUUUCAUCUGAAGAAGUGCAAUUUUCUAACGCAUGCAUCAUGAAAAACAGAGUGAUAAGGGACAAAAAAAUGAAGUUCGCUUGUGUGUUGGGUGAAGUGUUGUUUUUCAUCUAAAGAAGUACAAUUUUCAGAGUCAUGCAUCAUGAAAAAUAGAGUGAUAAUGGAUAAAAAAAUGAAGUUCGCUUGCCCGGUGGAUGCAGUGCGGUUUUCCAUCUAAAGCAGUGCGCUCUUUUUUUUAUACGGUUCACGCGUUGAUUUUGGUGUCGUAAAAAACAGAGUGUCCGCAUUUCGGUAAAACCAAAAGUGCUCUUAAAUAGUGAGGAAUUGGAGAGAGUGUCCUACAUGAAAAACUGGCG